GACGAACGCUGGCGGCGCGCCUAACACAUGCAAGUCGAACGAGCGAGAGAGAGCUUGCUUUCUCGAGCGAGUGGCGAACGGGUGAGUAACGCGUGAGGAACCUGCCUCAAAGAGGGGGACAACAGUUGGAAACGACUGCUAAUACCGCAUAAGCCCACGGGUCGGCAUCGACCAGAGGGAAAAGGAGCAAUCCGCUUUGAGAUGGCCUCGCGUCCGAUUAGCUAGUUGGUGAGGUAAUGGCCCACCAAGGCGACGAUCGGUAGCCGGACUGAGAGGUUGAACGGCCACAUUGGGACUGAGACACGGCCCAGACUCCACGGGAGGCAGCAGUGGGGAAUAUUGCACAAUGGGGGAAACCCUGAUGCAGCGACGCCGCGUGGAGGAAGAAGGUCUUCGGAUUGUAAACUCCUGUUGUUGGGGAAGAUAAUGACGGUACCCAACAAGGAAGUGACGGCUAACUACGUG
rnacentral:rRNA from 1 species